UAAAUACAUCCAUAUUUGAACAAAUUUGAGUCACUUGCCAUGGAACGGCGGGAGUAUAUAAUAUGAUCCUCGUCGAUCUGUUCUUCGGCUCGGCUCCCGCAUCAUCCCUGAUCUAAACCCUGAAAUGCAAUAUUCAAAUAUCUCUCGGCUAUAACUAUCGCUUUCUGAAACGACGGCUAGCUGCCUGUUCCUCUUUCCAAAACUGAUGAUCAGGCGUGUAUAUACAGUUGUAGUACGUUGCUUGAGCUCUCCAAACUCUCUCCCUCUCUCGUACGACAAAUUAAUACUCCGUAUGCAACACGAGCUAUAUAUAUACGAACUGACGAACUCUCAACUCUGAGCCGAGAGUUCGAUGUAUAUACAGAAUACGUACUUCACUUUUCAGACAGCGUCUCGCUCAACGACGACGGCGAUACUCUGGCGACGAGAUCGAGGGGAAUAAACGGCCGGCGGAGAGAUCUCGACCUCGCGUGUUUGCUCUCGAUAUCCGAUCGCGCGCAUUAUGCGGCGCAGAAUUAGGAUCAUGGAUGGAUACAGAGCUAGCUGUCCGACAGUCCGAGUAUCUAGCCAACCUUGCAACUUGAAGCUAGACGGCGACGUACGGCCGGCGUCGGCGCGGCCACACAUGCAUGGCAUAUCGAUCGACAGUGCCUCGCAUGGUUGGGUUGCCGGGUGUUUCGGUAACUCGACUGCUUCUUGGUCGGCCACAGCAAAACGCAGUUGCAGUUCAGGCAAACAUGCAGGCACGCAGGAAGGUUGUGAAUGUAAAACUCUUGGAUGGCACUGUACGUGAUACUCCUGUUGGUGCCGACAUCUGCCGUCCUGCCGGCCGGUGAGAAUGAGAUUCCUUUGGGUUAGCGUAUAUGCUGUAGCCACGACUGUGGAGUGUGGACUGUGGAGUAACGAGUACUGUCCAAAAUUUUCUUCAUCCAGGGAUCGAAUUUCAGAGACGAGUGCACGCAUGUUGAGUUGUUGACUAGUAUUCCCGUGAACAAGAAAAUAAAUGGCAAUAAAUCGCUGUGUCGAUCGAUC